rnacentral:rRNA from 1 species
UACGUAGGGGCCUAGCGUUGUCCGGAAUUAUUGGGCGUAAAGAGCUCGUAGGCGGUUCGGCAAGUCGGAUGUGAAAUCUCCACGCUUAACGUGGAGGGGCCAUUCGAAACUGCUGUGACUCGAGUCCGGUAGGGGAGUGUGGAAUUCCCGGUGUAGCGGUGAAAUGCGCAGAUACCGGGAGGAACACCGGUGGCGAAGGCGGUUCUCUGGGCCUGUGCUGACGCUGAGGAGCGAAAGCGUGGGGAGCAAACAGG